rnacentral:rRNA from 1 species
GAUGAACGCUGGCGGCGUGCCUAAUACAUGCAAGUCGAGCGAACGGACGAGAAGCUUGCUUCUCUGAUGUUAGCGGCGGACGGGUGAGUAACACGUGGAUAACCUACCUAUAAGACUGGGAUAACUUCGGGAAACCGGAGCUAAUACCGGAUGAUAUUUUGAACCGCAUGGUUCAAAAGUGAAAGACGGUCUUGCUGUCACUUAUAGAUGGAUCCGCGCUGCAUUAGCUAGUUGGUAAGGUAACGGCUUACCAAGGCAACGAUGCAUAGCCGACCUGAGAGGGUGAUCGGCCACACUGGAGCUGAGACACGGUCCAGACGCCUACGGGAGGCAGCAGUAGGGAAUCUUCCGCAAUGGGCGAAAGCCUGACGGAGCAACGCCGCGUGAGUGAUGAAGGUCUUCGGAUCGUAAAACUCUGUUAUGAGGGAAGAACAUAUGUGUAAGUAACUGUGCACAUCUUGACGGUACCUAAUCAGAAAGCCACGGCUAACUACGUG